GACAGAGGCCUCGAGCGUUAGGCGGAAUCACUGGGCUUAAAGCGUGUGUAGGCGGAUCGUUAAGUGCCUUGUGAAAUCCCACGGCUUAACUGUGGAACGGCUGGGCAUACUGGCGGUCUUGAGCCAUCUAGGGGCGAAUGGAACAAACGGUGGAGCGGUGAAAUGCGUAGAUAUCGUUUGGAACGCCAAUGGUGAAAACAGGUCGCUGGGGAUGAGCUGACGCUGAGACACGAAAGCCAGGGGAGCAAACGGG
rnacentral:rRNA from 1 species